rnacentral:rRNA from 1 species
AUUGAACGCUGGCGGCAUGCCUUACACAUGCAAGUCGAACGGUAACAGGUCUUCGGAUGCUGACGAGUGGCGAACGGGUGAGUAAUACAUCGGAACGUGCCCAGACGUGGGGGAUAACGAGGCGAAAGCUUUGCUAAUACCGCAUACGAACUAAGGAUGAAAGCAGGGGACCGCAAGGCCUUGCGCGGUUGGAGCGGCCGAUGGCAGAUUAGGUAGUUGGUGGGAUAAAAGCUUACCAAGCCGACGAUCUGUAGCUGGUCUGAGAGGACGACCAGCCACACUGGGACUGAGACACGGCCCAGACUCCUACGGGAGGCAGCAGUGGGGAAUUUUGGACAAUGGGCGAAAGCCUGAUCCAGCAAUGCCGCGUGCAGGAUGAAGGCCUUCGGGUUGUAAACUGCUUUUGUACGGAACGAAAAGGCUCUGGCUAAUACCUGGGGCACAUGACGGUACCGUAAGAAUAAGCACCGGCUAACUACGUGCCAGCAGCCGCGGUAACAC